rnacentral:pre_miRNA from 1 species
UAGAUGCAAAUUUGUAUGGAGUUGGAACGUUUGUUUACGUUUGCCGCUAAGGGCGCUGUUCCAGCUGCAUACAAAUUUUAGUUA